ACUCCUACGGGAGGCAGCAGUGGGGAAUUUUGCGCAAUGGGCGAAAGCCUGACGCAGCAACGCCGCGUGAGUGAUGAAGGCUUUCGGGUCGUAAAGCUCUGUCGAUGGGAAAGAAGUGUAUUGUGGCUAAUAUCCACGAUACUUGACGGUACCCAUAAAGGAAGCACCGGCUAACUCCGUGCCAGCAGCCGCGGUAAUACGGAGGGUGCAAGCGU
rnacentral:rRNA from 1 species